ACUUUUUCAUAAGACUUCAUUUAACAGGAACAGAAGAACACUUAAUUACGGAGCACUUCUUGUAUCAGUCCUCAUUUGCCCCAGAAAGAAGCUAUUCCUAUGGUCUUAAAGAAAGCAUGAAUGUGCCUUUUUUCCAUAAGAGAACAAAAGACAGUGUGCUGAAGAAAGGAUUUAUGACAAUGAACUGGUAUGUAACAGUAUUAAUUAAAAAUAGUAAACGAGGUCCCACAAACAUCCAUUCCCUAAACUUCCAAAAAGCCUGGUUGGGUUUUUAGCUCCACUAAAUUUUGCUGAUUUUGCCACAAAAAUUUAUAAAGAACAUCGAUUUGCAACUUCCAAUCCCCAAUUUAAAAGGAUUUUUUUCUUCAUUAUAAAUAUUUUGAACCCUGAUUUUGAAAGCCGAGUCGUUAAUAUGUAAAAAAAAUCAGAUUUGCUACUGCAGCCUGACUCAGGAUACUUUGGAGUGAAAUGGGUUGCCUAUAUGAAAGACCAACAGUCGCUAGCGGUAUUUAAAAUAAUUUGAAUUUUAAAUUCACACCGUCCUGCGAAAUUAAAUAAGUGCGCUGUUGUCGAGAUAAAGGUAGAAAUAUUACAGUGCAAGUCGAAAUUUGUAAGCAACUAAAUUUUUAGAUUUUAAUAAAAUAAUUUAAAUUUAUUUGGUACAUAAGCAAUCUAUGAAAAUAAUUGUGAUUGUACAAUACUUAACAUUGUUAUUGUAAAUGAAUUUUUAUCAGUUUGUUUUGUAUAUUGGUGUAAUGUGGUAUUUUUUACCUUGUGUUCUGUACAUAACAAUUUUUUAUAGUUUUUUUUAUAGAGAAAGAUGAUUAUCGUUAAAUAUGCAGACAAAAAACUGUUAGCUGUACUUGGGAAAAUUGUGAUGAGUGUAUAAAAAUGUAAUAAAGCAAAAAUAGUCAAGGAGAUAGAUGCUUCUUAAUCAAAAAUAGCGAUUGAUUAAGAAUAAAAGUAAUGUACUCUCUUUUCUUGCAUUUUCAAAAAGUAUUGUAUUUUUAAAAAAUCCGUGUUUUCAAAUUACGUGCCAAUGAAAAUAAACGAAGUUUUAGUUAUAUAAUUCUUUUAAAAAAGUAACAUUGCAAAUGAAAAUGAAAAUUUCCCGCUCUUAUGCCAAUGAAAAGAGCUUAUCAAUUUUUCACAACGGUUUUAUAACUAAAACUUCUUACGUUCCUGUAGGUAUUUAGGUAUUUAAAGAAAACCAAAAGAUAACAUAAUACAUAAAAGUACAAACUAACUGCAAAUUUUAAGUGGUUACCUAUUAAUUUAGAAAUGGUUCAACUUUUUAAUAACUAAAAUCGACAAGUCAGAUAAAUUUAAGUGUAAAUUAAUUUAUUUAUCCCAUGCUUUAACGUUAUUUAUCGUAAAUUGUACAACAUGAAGGCUAUUAAUAAUUCGGGAACAGGAAAUUUAAACCACAGAAACCGUUUAUUAAUAGACUAAAUAAACUUUAAAUGUUUACAUUUAUUUUUUAAAUAACAAUAAGGUACUUCUUAAAUGUUAUACUGCAAUUACUAAGUUUCUUAAUUUCAUUCGUUUAAUGCUUAAAAAAUUCAAUUUCUUGUCCAUUCGGUCGAAUUUUAUUAUACCACAGCAUUGCGAUAAGCCUACAAAUCAACAUUAUUGUAAAUUAUGUAAGUUUAUAUAAUAGUUUAGACUAUUUUUGUUUUGUUGGUCGUGUUCUUUUUAUUUAACUAUGCAAUUCGCAGAAAUUUAACAUUUUUGUCAUAAUGUGUAGGUUGAGAUUCCUAAAUCAGAUAAAUUGACGAUAAUAAGUAAGAUUUAUUUAACUACUACGUAAAAAUCUUCUGAUUUGAUUACGUAUAAAUUAAAGCUCAGAAAUAAAGCAUAUUAAUUUACUAAAAACGGUAGAAUAAAAUCGUUACCACAGUAAAAUACGAUAUAUUGUGUAUCUAUUAAUCAACCAAGUUACAGGUCAAGCCCUAACAAUACAUAAAAAAUAUAAGAUUAAAAUAUAUAUACAUGAGUUGUGAUCAGGCGAUGGAACUCUCACGAAGCAAAAACACACAGAAAUUCAAUUCUGUAAAACGGGGAUGAAACUAGCCACGCGAUUGGUUAAAUUACGAAAAAUUUGCCGCAAACCGUCGCAGAAAUCUAAUUUGAUGCUUCUGAUUGAAUUUGCCUACGUCAUCAGUGCUUCGUGCAGUAGCUAUCGCAAUUUUGCGACAAGCCUGAGACGCGUUUGGUACAUUAUAACAUUAUAAGUUCAUAAAGUUUGGAGGUGGAAGAACGUGUUUUCGCGUUUCUUAAAUUCAACUUAUCGAGCUAUUUUUUUCGCAAAAUUAGUUCUAAUUUGUUCUACGUCUGAAAGGUUAGUUUGAUUGAUUCAUAUUCUAUUAUUAUUCUUCGUAUUUGCUCACAGCAUAAAUUAAAUUGACAAAAUUGUUAAAGGUUAUAUCUUCAAACAGACAUCAGGUGGCCAUGUCGUCAUUUUUAAUGUUAUUUUAUUCGUCUUUGAAUGGUUUUUUAUUGCGUGUUUUUGUUUUAUUUCAUGUUUCAUUUAUUUAAUACGACUGUUUAAUUCUUUUUUUUAUCCAUUCUCCGCAUAUAUUUCGACUUUCAUUUGAGAAAAAGGAAGAAAGUGAAAAGGAUUAAAUAUUUAAAUUUUCUGCGUAACAGAUGUCUAUCAAAUUAAUUAGUUAAUAAUUGUUUUUGUCCGUUUACAUAGAUUAGCCAACGAUUGAUAGAGAUUGGAACUGAUAUCCUUUGCUUACUGAAAAGAAGUCGUCUCCUAUGGUGUUUUAGCUGUUAACUUUUCAUCUUGAAGGCUCUUGCAGUUAAUUAAGGAACAUUAAAAGAACUCCGGAUACCAUUAAAUUAUGAAAUUAUGGAGCAUUGGUUGUAUUAGUCCUCAUUUGCUCCGGAAAGUAGCUGUGCCCAUGGUUCUAAAGAAAGCAUGAAAGUGCCUUUUUUCCAUUGGGAACGAAGCUGUUAAAUUUUCAUCCUGGAUGCUCUUGUAGUUAAUUAAGGGAUGUUAGAAGAACUCCAGAUGCCAUUAAAUUGUGGAGCAUUGAUUGUGUCGGUCCUCAUUGACUCUAAAAAAGUGACUGUUCCUAUGGUCAUAAAGAAAGCAUGAAAGUGCCUUUCCAUUGGGAACGGAGACAAUGUGCUUAAGAAGUGUGUUGCUGAAGGAGGGAUUUAUGACAAUAAACUGAUUGUCCCACAAAUGACGAGGGAUUGCAGUUAAUUUUGAUGCUACUGAAGCAACUGAUAAUUUUGAUGUCUUCAUCUUGCAACAUUAUGCAGUUAAUUUUUGCCGUAACAACAGGA
rnacentral:lncRNA from 1 species